GAUGAACGCUGGCGGCGUGCCUAAUACAUGCAAGUCGAGCGAACAGACGAGGAGCUUGCUCCUCUGACGUUAGCGGCGGACGGGUGAGUAACACGUGGAUAACCUACCUAUAAGACUGGGAUAACUUCGGGAAACCGGAGCUAAUACCGGAUAAUAUAUUGAACCGCAUGGUUCAAUAGUGAAAGACGGUUUUGCUGUCACUUAUGGAUGGAUCCGCGCCGCAUUAGCUAGUUGGUAAGGUAACGGCUUACCAAGGCAACGAUGCGUAGCCGACCUGAGAGGGUGAUCGGCCACACUGGAACUGAGACACGGUCCAGACUCCUACGGGAGGCAGCAGUAGGGAAUCUUCCGCAAAGGGCGAAAGCCUGACGGAGCAACGCCGCGUGAGUGAUGAAGGUCUUCGGAUCGUAAAACUCUGUUAUUAGGGAAGAACAAAUGUGUAAGUAACUAUGCACGUCUUGACGGUACCUAAUCAGAAAGCCACGGCUAACUACGUG
rnacentral:rRNA from 1 species